rnacentral:rRNA from 1 species
GACGAACGCUGGCGGCGUGCCUAAUACAUGCAAGUCGAGCGGGCCUCCGGAGGUGCUUGCACCUCCGGACGGCCAGCGGCGGACGGGUGAGUAACACGUGGGCAACCUGCCUUUGAGGCCGGGAUAACACCGGGAAACCGGUGCUAAUACCGGAUACGUCCUCUUUCGCGCCUGCGAGAGGGGAGAAAGACGGUCUUUAAGGCCGUCGCUCAAAGAGGGGCCCGCGGCGCAUUAGCGGGUUGGUGGGGCAAGGGCCUACCAAGGCGACGAUGCGCUGCAGACCUGAGAGGGGGAGCGGCCACACUGGGACUGAGACACGGCCCAGCCUCCUGCGGGAGGCAGCAGUAGGGAAUCAUCCGCAAUGGGCGAGAGCCUGACCCAGCCAUGCCGCGUGCAGGAAGAAGGCUUUCUGAGUCGUAAACUGCUUUUGACAGGGAAGAAUAAGGUGUACGUGUACACUGAUGACGGUACCUGCAGAAUAAGCACCGGCUAACUCCGUGCCAGCAGCCGCCGGUAAAAC